rnacentral:rRNA from 1 species
AACGAACGCUGGCGGCAUGCCUAACACAUGCAAGUCGAACGAGACCUUCGGGUCUAGUGGCGCACGGGUGCGUAACGCGUGGGAACCUGCCCUUAGGUUCGGAAUAACUCCCCGAAAGGGGUGCUAAUACCGGAUAAUGUCUUCGGACCAAAGAUUUAUCGCCUUUGGAUGGGCCCGCGUUGGAUUAGCUAGUUGGUAGGGUAAAAGCCUACCAAGGCGACGAUCCAUAGCUGGUCUGAUAGGAUGAUCAGCCACACUGGGACUGAGACACGGCCCAGACUCCUACGGGAGGCAGCAGUGGGGAAUAUUGGACAAAGGGCGAAAGCCUGAUCCAGCAAUGCCGCGUGAGUGAUGAAGGCCUUAGGGUUGUAAAGCUCUUUUACCCGGGAUGAUAAUGACAGUACCGGGAGAAUAAGCUCCGGCUAACUCCGU